GAAAUGCGAUACGUAAUGCGAAUUGCAGAACUCAGUGAAUCAUCAAAUCUUUGAACGCAAAUUGCGCUUUCGGGAUAGGCCUGAAAGCACGCCUCUUUGAGUAUCGAUUCAACCACCGCUCGACGGCGUUCUUUAAUUGGAACGUGCAGUUGGCUGAGAUUGAGUUUCGCAGAUUUGUGUCUGCGUGACUUGAAGCAACGACAGUCGUUCAACCCCGUAAUCGUGAGAUUCGGACAGAAGCUGUCGACCGAGAGCAAUGCGGUUAGUUUUACCUUUUACGGUGAAUCAUCAGCAUUCGUUCGGAGUUGAUAAGCGUUCGAAGCUCGUGAUUUGGGCUUUGUUGAACAUGUGGGCAUUAUUCGUAGUGCGCACGACAACACUUUUGAUUAAGAUCUCAAAU
rnacentral:misc_RNA from 1 species